AUAUUGGGCAAUGGGCGCAAGCCUGACCCAGCAAUGCCGCGUGAAGGAUGACGCCCCUCGGGGUGUAAACUUCUUUUGUGUGGGAGGAGCAAGGACCGUACCACACGAAUCAGUCACGGCUAACUACGUGCCAGCAGCCGCGGUAAUACGUAGGUGGCGAACGUUAUCCGGAAUUACUGGGCGUAAAGGGUCCGCAGGCGGGUCGCCAAGUCCGGCGUGAAAGCUCCCGGCUCAACUGGGAGAGGGCGUUGGAAACUGGCGGUCUUGAAUCUCAGAGAGGUCGGUGGAAUUCCCGGUGUAGUGGUGGAAUGCGUAGAGAUCGGGAGGAACCUCGAAAGCGAAGGCAACCGGCUGGCUGAAGAUUGACGCUGAGGGACGAAAGCGUGGGGAGCGAACAGG
rnacentral:rRNA from 1 species